UCAGAACAAAGAAAUUACAGAGAAUGCUGACAGUAAGGUUUCCAUGUCUCAAAAGUCAAAAGCAAAGACAGUCUACUUUGCAUCCCUCUACUUUCUGCUGUGCCUGAAGGCGUCAUAUUUUCUCAAAUCAGAGGCUACACUUACUGUCAAACGGGCAAUGGAGUGGCAAUGAAAAAGAUCUCUGCAGGAUACGAUCCAAGAACAACAGGAGGCCAGGAACAUGACCCUGAAAUGAUGCCCCAAGAUCAGCUUAGUUUUCCAGACAAACAAUUUGAGUGACGACAUCCAGUGUGCAGUUCUCUAAAAGAUUGGCAUAGUCCUCAUCAUCUGGCCAAUUUUUAGGGUGUUUUUUGUUCAGCAAAAGUGUUUAGUCAUAAUGGGUGUGCAUUCCGAAACACAGUGGCAGAACUUUCACAUUUUAUAACAAUACCUUCCAUUUGCAUAUUACUCACUCGCUUGUUUUUUUGUGUCUAGUGCCCUUUAUGUUGGUGUUAAAAUGGAGGCUUAUGUUAUUAGAGAAGAUGCUUCAUCUUUUGUAUCAUUAAAAAUUUGUAACCUAGGACAUUCAAUCAUUCAGACAUGUAGCAAUAUGCCAAUAUUCUAUGCUUGUAAAGCUCACACAGGCUAUAUCUGUCCAUGGUGCCACGUCACAGAGUAAAAUUUCAUUACUGUAAUGAAAUGAGCUGGGUCAACAGAAGAUGACUCUCGCUUCAA